UAGCAGACUCAGCACAGCAGCCUAGGAAAUAGAGAAGGAAAGAAAUGCUUAGCAUAUUCUACAUUUACUUAUAGACAUACAAUACCAUUUAUGGCUCCAUGUCUAAUAUAGGAACCAGAUUUUGGAGGGAAACUGGACAGGAACAAUAUCCAGCAUGAGCAGACAGAAGAGGACUUCAUGGCACAGAAUUCCAGAACUACGUGGCAUAUUUUAUCAUCAUCAAAGGGAGGCUUCAGAUCAGCCACCUUGGACUUCAACACCAAUUUGAUUAGGAGGUACUGUGUACCAAUGGCCAGAACGGGUGUGUGCCUGCCUUCAUUCUUUUGGAGUUCCUGGAGGCAAAAGUGGAUGCAGGGUUGUUGUAUGUAUCCUUUGCCUCAUGCUGUGCCUAUUGCUAGGCUUUUUGUCUGAAAGCUGCUAUUCUAAUUAACCAAAACUACCUUUCUCCUUAUCUGCUAGAGCAUGGUUUAUUAGUUUUAUCUUGUAAGCUGUUUCCUGAAAUAAAGAGGUAUGCCUUCUUCUUUCCA
rnacentral:lncRNA from 1 species